UUUUUCGUAAUUUGAUUCCACUAUAACGCACCGUUUCGCACGAAAAGGAAAUGCCCCCAAAAAAGAAAAAAAAUUGAUGAUAACAAGCUAAAGCAAGUACGAUGGGUCUGACGGAUUCUGCUCAAUGUGCUCAAGCAGAUCUUUUGGCUUUCUGGGAAGAGUCGAGUUGGAGGUCAUGGGACAUAUGCUUGGGGAGUUUGUGGAAAAGUACACUGUUUGUGUCAAAGCUGUGUUUGCAAUGCUGAAGAGCGAUAGGGGUUAGUGUCAAAGUAGUCGAUCACGACUUCAGGCCUAACAUGCUCAAUUUGCUUAAUCAGACUAUACGACCAAUUUGAGAGAUUGGUGCUUAGAAACUUUACGGGUAUGUGUGUUACAAGAAUACUCCUUUUGUCAUUUAGAUUCUAAUAUGUACUACUACCAACUUUUUCUUUCAUGUUGUUGACUACAAUUCUAAAAGCGUUAUGUUUGUUUAGCCUUUUUAUCUAGGCUGGUUAGAGCUACUUAUGCAAAGGGUGCAAACAUUGUACUUAUACAGGUAUGUAUAGUUGGAAUCUGUGAUGUCAACAUUUGUAUUGUACGGCUACUUUUGAAACAUGAAAUUAUGUAUUUGAUACAUCUUCAGGAGUACUCUGUAGUUUCUGUUUCAUUGUUCUUAUGACUACAAUAUGGUUUUUGAAAAUACGUUUUGUUCUUCAACUCAAAAAUGUCUUCCUUUCGCUAUCGUUAUAAUUUUUACGGAUUGGAAAAUGUGCAUGUUAAUGACACUAGAGGACCUUGGAGUUUGUGUAAAAAACUAUUUAUUGAGGCACUCAAAUUUAUUCUUACUGUAGUUGUAAAAUAUGUAUGGUUUAAUGGAGUCUAACUUGGUUUUCCUGAUGCCAAAUAUGUUUUGGCAUAGAUUCCAAGUAUUUGAACAUCUGUCAGCAUUCUAAAUUGAUUAGAGGUUUUGAAAAUGCCAGUUUUAGUGUUUUUGGUUCAAAAACCUUGAAGCUAUGGUCAUCAAUGAUGCUCAGUUUAGUGCUCUUGGUUCAGAUUUAGCUUUUCCAGUUUGGGUAUAUUUUUAAUGAAUGAUUUCAUUCCUCAUAAUGGAAAUUUCCCUAAGCUUCUCUUUUAUAAGAUGACCCAACAAUCAUGGCCUGGGAGCUUAUGCAAGAGUCUAUGUGCAAAUUAUAUCCUUCAUGGAAAACCAUUUAGAACAAGACAGAAUAUGUGUUAUAAAACAAGAAAUAACUCUGGCAAACAAUUUUCGGCAUGGGGAGUGAUAGAAGUCCUGCUCCAGAUGGUUUUACUGCUAAAAUUUUCAAGGUUGCCUGGCCUAUAGUGAAGACGCUGUCAUUUCAGCAAUUACUUCCUUCUUCACAUCUGGUAAGCUCCUCAAAGAAGUCAAUUCUACAACCAUUACUCUUGUUCCUAAAGUUCCUAAUCCUUCCUAUAUUUCAGAUUUCAGACCUAUAUAUCCUGUUUUAAUAUAGUCUAUAAAUGUAUUACUAAAAUACUAGCUAAUAGGCUGAAAAUCUACCUUGGUGUUUUGUUGAAUUCUAACCAAACUGCUUUUAUCAAAGAAAGGAAUAUCUCUGAAAAUACUCUUCUUGCUCAUGAGCUAGUGAAACACUAUGUUAAGAUGCCAGCUGAUCUCACAAGUCUUAGGGAUUGAAUGGGUGAUGGAGAAGAUUAAAAGGAAUAUGAGUAGGUUACUUUGAGGGAACCUAGGCCUCCGUCAGAAGAAUAGGGGAUAGAGAGAGAAACUAAGUAUUCAUCUUAUUUCGUGAUUGAUUCCCAUUACAAUGCUACUGUUCUCUUGAACACCCACAAUUGUCCUAACUAAUUAACUGUUCAAUCAGUUAUUUCCUUCCCUAACAGCCUAACUAAUUCCCAACUAACCACAUGUGAGAAAUCCCAUUAUUCACAUGGACAAUUAGGAGUUAGUUAAUUGAAGGUACAAUCCACUACAUUACAAUUACAAGGGUAAGCAUUACAACAAGUAACUAAGUACAAACUCCAUGUGGCAUUCUAGCUCAGCAGCUAGGCUUCAUAGCAAUAACUGUCGGUGCCUUAACAUACCCUUUCCCUUGAAAGCACCUUGCCCACAAGGUGAGGGUAUUUAAGCUGUAAUUGAACUAAGACUUCAGUGAUGUCUAUUCCUGAGCUGCUUCACCCUCUUCUGCAGAAUGGCUAUAGGUUCCAGCAUCAAUUGUCCUUCAUGAUCCAUAGGAGGCAGAGUAGGAAUAGGUGAUAUAGCUGGUCCCAGUGUAGGUUUUAAACAAGAGACAUGGAAAACUGGAUAAAUGCAAGCUGUAGGAGGCAAGUCUAACUUAUAUGCUACCUUCCCCACCCUUUGAAGAACUUGUUAGGGUCCAUAGAAUCUGGGAGAUAGCUCUUACUUACCUUUCUGAGCCAAAGACUUGUGCUUAUAGGGCUGUAACUUCAGGUAAACCCAAUCUCCAAUGGCAAAAGAUCUGUCACUCCUGUGCUUAUCAGCCUGUAUUUUCAUUCUCUGCUGAGCAAGCAAAAUAUUAGCCUUUUUUUUGAUAAGUCAAAAUAUUAGCCUUUAAUUGAGCCAACACUUGCUCUCUAUUGCUCAAAAGGGUAUCCUCAGCUUCAACUCUAGUGGUACCUGGGAUGUACUGCAAUUUAGGUGGAGGGAAGCCAUAUAAGGCUUCAAAAGGAGUGAGCUUAAGAGAGGUGUGAAAAUUGGUAUCGUACCAAAAUUCAGCUAAAGGUAGCCACUGUAGCCACUGAUGAGGUCUGUCACCUACAGAUACUCUCAGAUAGUGUUCCAGGCCUUUAUUCACAAUCUCAUUCUGACCAUCAGAUUGAGGAUGGUAAGCUGUAGACAUGGCCAACUCCAUACCCUGCAACCGAAACAGCUCAGACCAGAAUUUGGAAGUAAAAGCAGCAUCUCGAUCACUAACCAAAGUGAUAGGUAAGCCAUGUAAAACACUUGCUGAAGGUACACUGCAGCUGCAUAAAAUGAGCAUAUUUAGUGAACCGGUCUACAACCACCAAAAUCACUUCAUACCCUUGUGACUUAGGCAACCCUUCAAUAAAAUCUAAACUGACAUCAGACCAAGGUCUAUCAGGAAUGCCCAAAGGUUGUAGCAGACCAGCAGGUGCACUGGUUUCAGUUUUAAUCCCUUGGCGGACUUCACACUCUCUAGUAUACUACUUAAUAUCAGAUUUCAUACCCUUCCAAUAGAACUCUCUUUUGGCUCUAUGAAGAGACUUGAGAAAACCUGAGUGGUCAGCCAUAGGACUAGCAUGGACAUGGUGGAGUAUCAGAUGCUUGAGAGGGGAAUUAGAGCCUAGAUAGAAUCUACCCUUAAACAAAAGAAGACCAUUUUGCAUAGAAAACCCUGUAGAAGUGGCACUAUCAGAUUGCACAGCCUGGAUAAGACUCUGAAGCUCAGGGUCUUGUUGAUAGAUGUCCUUAAGAAUGUCAAUCCAGGUGGGAUUAGGAAAAGAGAUAAAAAAUAACAUGCUAAAUUUGGAGUCUGAAAUGUUCUCUUGCUCUAAAUCCUCCUUUCUAGAUAGAGCAUCAGCCACCUUAUUCUCCACACCUUUCUUGUAUUCUACUGCAAAUGCAUAUCCCAUUAGCUUGGUAAUCCAUUUCUGUUGACCUGGUGUUCCUACCCUUUGCUCCAAUGAGAAUUUUAAACUCUGGUGGUCUGUCCUAACCAUAAAAGGUUUGCCCAACAAAUAUGGCCUCCGCUUCUUCACAACAGAAACUAAGGCCAACCACUCCUACUAUUAGGUUGAUAAAUGCAGAUUCUUGCCUUUCAAGGCUUGACUGUGAAAAGCUGUAGGUCUCUGGACUUGCAUUAACACCUCCCAAACCAAUUCCAGAUGCAUCACAUUCAAUAGCAAAAGGUUUUGAGAAGACUGGUAAAGCUAGAACUGGUGGACUAGCCACUGCCUGCUUGAGUUGUUCAGCUCAUAAUACAAAUAGAUUUGGGGGCCCAAAUCUCCUAAGGCCAGGGUUCUUUGACGAGUGUAAGGCCUCCACAAUUUGUAUAUCCUAUUUGGACUGUUUGCAAUAGCAAUUUAGUCCAUGACUUGUUAUAGAAACCUAGGCAAGAGAGUUGUUAUAUACAUUCAGUUAUUGUGUGUGUUCUGUUUUUUUUUUUUUUUUUUACCUUCUAGUUUGAGUCAAUUUUUAGUCAGCUUUUGCGAUUUGAGUUAUCCGACAUUUUCAUUGUUUUUCAAUUUUGAUCUAGAUUACGUUAAAUAUAGGAGGGUUGUGUUGUGACUAAUGUAGGUUCAAUUGAUGUAGUUUAUAAGGUGAAAGUGAAAGCUGCAGCAGAUGUUGUAAUUAGUUUUCUGCUGAUUAAGCUUGUGUUCAAUCAUAAAAUUGUACCCAAACUUAUGAGGUAACAAACCUUUUCCUGGGGCACUGGCUAUAGUCGUUCUGCUAUAUAUGGUUCUGUUAAAAAUAUUUACUCAAAACAAAUACUUAAUUUCAUAAAUUAAUUUUAACUUGAUAACAUUGUGUUGUAAGUUAUUUCAAUGUAUUUUAAAAUCAUUUGCAACUGAUUUUGAAUUAAUCAAGAAUUAUAUUCUAAGGAAGCAAUAUCUAUUUAUUUAAGUUUAAAUCUUUGAACUUUUCUAAGGGGUUCAACAUCUAAAAUUUCAUCAUUUGGGACAAAAGAUUGAGCAAUAGCUUCUAGAUCUUAUUAAUUUUUACUCUUAAAAUAUGUAUAAAUUGUGGAUAUUUUCCCAUUACCUUAAUUUGAAACCUAUAUAUUUGAAUUUUAUAAACUAGUUAUAUAAUUAAUUAAAAAAUAAAAUUGGACAACCAAGUGUAAACUACUAUAUGACGUACUCAAUACUGAACAAAACCUCCAAUUAUUAUCAAAUAUAAUUUAUAAAUACGUAGAUUCUAAGCUUUGUUUCUUCUCUUUUGAGAAGACGUAGAUUCUUAGCUAAUUACUCAAACCAUCAUUUUCGAAUCUAACAUAACUUACAAUAAAGGGGAAAUUACACUUUAUUAUCUUAAACUUUACACUACAUUACACUUUGCACCCUAAACUAUUUGAAUGCAUGUUUUGUACUCUAAACUGUGACCCCUGUUACACUUUGCACCCUGACGUUAGUUUUAUUGUUAAGAUAGAACAUGACUUGUCCAUGAUUUUUGCUUAGAUGAGACAUUGUUUAAAGACUAAAGCACUCUUUUUACAAACAAUUAAAAACAAAAGAUUUUUUUUUUUCUAUCUCUCUCUUUAGCAUGAGUAAUUUUAAUAACAAGUCCAAGAAAAACAUCAUCUAGGUCGUGAUUAUGAGGGUUGUGCUCAACUAUAUAAGGGUCACCGCACAAUUUAAGAAAAAUACACUCUUUUGAGCUAUGAGUCUUAUGGACGAUAUUAAAAGAAUAAAGCAAGAAAACACAAAAUGAAACAAUGAAUUAAAAUCUCUUUUAUUUAGGGGGGGAGCCCAGCGAAUCUGACCAUGGGGGUGGACAACUGGGGGGUGAACAACCUGAAUUGAUUGGAACUCUUGAAGACAAUCAAUGGGAUCCACAAAAAUUCUAGAGUAGGGGCAGAAGUGUUUCCUAACCGAGAUGCAUUCCGCUUAUUCCAAAUGCCCCAAGCAACAAAGGCUAAAAUUUCUGCAAGAUUGGGUGUUCAUGAAAGUGAAAAGUCCUGGUGAGUAAAUCUCUGAAACUUGUAAAACGGCUAGAGAGAUAGCUUUUGUAGUGUUCAACUUCCCACCAAAUCUCUUUGAGAACCUGGCAAUCCCAUAGAGCAUGGAUAGCAUCCUCCGUUUCCCAGUCACAACACUCACAUGUAGCAUUGCGAGUGACAUGGCGACUUAAGAGGUUCUUCUUCGUAGGCAGAGCUUUGCAACAGGCUCGCCACAAGAAAUGUUUAAUUUUAUUUGGGACUCUGAGGCCCCAGAUAUCCUUCCAAAUCCCACUAUUUACUAUUGGGUUUGAAGGACCUGGAUUAGAUGUAGCCGUGGAUUCAGCUAACAUCCGAUAGGCACUCUUUGUAGAAUAAAUCCCAUUUUUUGUCCUUUGCCAAAUCAAGGAGUCUUCAGGUCAGCGUGUACUGAGUGGGAUUCUAAGGACAGCGUUUGCCUCAUGGGGCAGAAGCUCCUCACGCACCCUAUCUUCCAGCCAACAUGGUCCAUCCUCAUCAAUUAGCGCACAAACAUGAGCAUUAUUUGGCAAAUGCUUCUGAGGUGAAAUAGCUUUCCUGGAAAACUGAUCCGAUAACCAAAUUAUUCCCUCUGAUAAGGACAGUCUCUCCAUUGCCAAUCCUCCACAUUGCACCCAUUCGUACAAGGCUUUGUGCUUUCAAAAUACUUUGCCAAGCAUGUGAACGAUUAGUCUUUACUUCCUCAUCCAAAAUAGAACAAUUAGAGAAAUAUUUUGCCUUGAAGGCUUGGUAAAACAGUGAAUUAGUGUUGUGAAUUAGUCUCCAAACCUAUUUACCAAGAAGUGCCAGGUUGAAUUGUUCCAAAUCUUUGAAACCCAAACCACCAUGAUUCUUUGGGAGGCACAAUUUGUUUCAACCAACCCAGUGAAUUUUACAAGUAUCCCCAUUAUAUCCCCACCAAAACUUGCGGAUCAAAGACUAUCUUUGCAAAGGCCCUUUGGGAGUUUGAAGCAACUCAUGGUGAAAGUUGGCAUGGCUUGGAUUACGGCCUUGAUUAAGGCUUCUCUACCAGUUUGAGACAAGUUUUUCUUUCCAUCCUUGUAUUUUGUGCCAAAUUCUUUCUCAAAUAUAGAUAAAACUUUGUUUCUAUGAUAUUUUGUGUAAUGUAAUAAACAGUAGACACUAGACAGUACUCAACAAACAUAUAUUAUAUUAUUAUUUAGGAUGGUCAGACAGGCUUUGCAAUUAUGUUACAUCCAAAUAGAUUACUCUUUGUUUUUGAGUUGGAAUCUGAUGUUGAUAAGGUUUUGAUGGGAGAAUCUUGAUAUUCGAUAAGCAUUUAUCA